UGGGGAAUAUUGGACAAUGGGCGAAAGCCUGAUCCAGCCAUGCCGCGUGUGUGAAGAAGGUCUUCGGAUUGUAAAGCACUUUAAGUUGGGAGGAAGGGCAGUAAGCUAAUACCUUGCUGUUUUGACGUUACCGACAGAAUAAGCACCGGCUAACUCUGUGCCAGCAGCCGCGGUAAUACAGAGGGUGCAAGCGUUAAUCGGAAUUACUGGGCGUAAAGCGCGCGUAGGUGGUUUGUUGAGUUGGAUGUGAAAGCCCCGGGCUCAACCUGGGAACUGCAUCCAAAACUGGCAAGCUAGAGUACGGAAGAGGGUGGUGGAAUUUCCUGUGUAGCGGUGAAAUGCGUAGAUAUAGGAAGGAACACCAGUGGCGAAGGCGACCACCUGGACUGAUACUGACACUGAGGUGCGAAAGCGUGGGGAGCAAACA
rnacentral:rRNA from 1 species